rnacentral:rRNA from 1 species
ACUCCUACGGGAGGCAGCAGUGGGGAAUAUUGCACAAUGGGCGCAAGCCUGAUGCAGCCAUGCCGCGUGUGUGAAGAAGGCCUUACGGGUUGUUAAAGCAAGCUUUCAGUCGUGAGGAAGGUAGUGUAGUUAAUAGCUGCAUUAUUUGACGUUAGCGACAGAAGAAGCACCGGCUAACUCCGUGCCAGCAGCCGCGGUAAUACGGAGGGUGCGAGCGUUAAUCGGAAUUACUGGGCGUAAAGCGCAUGCAGGUGGUUUGUUAAGUCAGAUGUGAAAGUCCCGGGGCUCAACCUCGGAAUUGCAUUUGAAACUGGCAGUACUAGAGUACUGUAGAGGGGGGUAGAAUUUCAGGUGAUAGCGGUGAAAUGCGUAGAGAU